rnacentral:rRNA from 1 species
GACGAACGCUGGCGGCGUGCUUAACACAUGCAAGUCGAACGGAAAGGCCCUGCUUUUGUGGGGUGCUCGAGUGGCGAACGGGUGAGUAACACGUGAGUAACCUGCCCUUGACUUUGGGAUAACUUCAGGAAACUGGGGCUAAUACCGGAUAGGAGCUCCUGCUGCAUGGUGGGGGUUGGAAAGUUUCGGCGGUUGGGGAUGGACUCGCGGCUUAUCAGCUUGUUGGUGGGGUAGUGGCUUACCAAGGCUUUGACGGGUAGCCGGCCUGGGAGGGUGACCGGCCACAUUGGGACUGAGGUACGGCCCAGACUCCUACGGGAGGCAGCAGUGGAGAAUAUUACACAAUGGGCGGAAGCCUGAUGCAGCAACGCCGCGUGCGGGAUGACGGCCUUCGGGUUGUAAACCGCUUUCGCCUGUGACGAAGCGUGAGUGACGGUAAUGGGUAAAGAAGCACCGGCUAACUACGUG